UACGUAGGGUGCGAGCGUUGUCCGGAAUUACUGGGCGUAAAGAGCUCGUAGGUGGUUUGUCGCGUUGUCCGUGAAAACUCACAACUCAAUUGUGGGCGUGCGGGCGAUACGGGCAGACUGGAGUACUGCAGGGGAGACUGGAAUUCCUGGUGUAGCAGUGGAAUGCGCAGAUAUCAGGAGGAACACCGGUGGCGAAGGCGGGUCUCUGGGCCGAUACUGACGCUGAGGAGCGAAAGCGUGGGGAGCGAACAGG
rnacentral:rRNA from 1 species